UACGGAGGGUGCGAGCGUUGUCCGGAAUCACUGGGCGUAAAGGGCGCGUAGGUGGCUUUUCAAGCGCGCGGUGAAAGCCCGGGGCUCAACCCCGGGUCGGCCGUGCGGACUGGGAGGCUCGAGCACUGUAGGGGCGGGUGGAAUUCCUGGUGUAGCGGUGAAAUGCGCAGAUAUCAGGAAGAACACCCGUGGCGAAGGCGGCUCUCUGGGACGGUACUGACGCUGAGACGCGAAAGCGUGGGGAGCGAACAGG
rnacentral:rRNA from 1 species